rnacentral:rRNA from 1 species
GUUUGAUCCUGGCUCAGGAUGAACGCUAGCGGCAGGCUUAACACAUGCAAGUCGAGGGGUAACAUUGUAGCUUGCUACAGAUGACGACCGGCGCACGGGUGCGUAACGCGUAUAGAACCUACCUUUUACAGAGGGAUAGCCUUUAGAAAUGAAGAUUAAUACCUUAUAGUAUUGAGACUUGGCAUCAAGUUUUAAUUAAAGAUUUAUCGGUAAGAGAUGGCUAUGCGUCCUAUUAGUUAGUUGGUAAGGUAACGGCUUACCAAGACAGCGAUAGGUAGGGGUCCUGAGAGGGAGAUCCCCCACACUGGUACUGAGACACGGACCAGACUCCUACGGGAGGCAGCAGUGAGGAAUAUUGGACAAUGGAGGAGACUCUGAUCCAGCCAUGCCGCGUGUAGGAAGAAUGCCCUAUGGGUUGUAAACUACUUUUAUACAGGAAGAAACACUGGUAUGUAUACCAGCUUGACGGUACUGUAAGAAUAGGGACCGGCUAACUCCGUGCCAGCAGCCGCGGUAAUACGGAGGGUCCGAGCGUUAUCCGGAAUCAUUGGGUUUAAAGGGUCCGCAGGCGGUCGAUUAAGUCAGAGGUGAAAUCCCAUAGCUCAACUAUGGAACUGCCUUUGAUACUGGUUGACUUGAGUCAUAUGGAAGUAGAUAGAAUGUGUAGUGUAGCGGUGAAAUGCAUAGAUAUUACACAGAAUACCGAUUGCGAAGGCAGUCUACUACGUAUGUACUGACGCUGAGGG